UGGGGAAUAUUGGACAAUGGGCGCAAGCCUGAUCCAGCCAUGCCGCGUGUGUGAAGAAGGCCUUCGGGUUGUAAAGCACUUUCAGCGAGGAGGAAGGGAGUUGUGUUAAUAGCACAGCUUCUUGACGUUACUCGCAGAAGAAGCACCGGCUAACUCUGUGCCAGCAGCCGCGGUAAUACAGAGGGUGCAAGCGUUAAUCGGAAUUACUGGGCGUAAAGCGCACGUAGGCGGUUUUUAAGUCAGAUGUGAAAGCCCCGGGCUCAACCUGGGAAUUGCAUUUGAAACUGGAAAACUAGAGUGUGUGAGAGGGGGGUAGAAUUCCAAGUGUAGCGGUGAAAUGCGUAGAGAUUUGGAGGAAUACCAGUGGCGAAGGCGGCCCCCUGGCACAACACUGACGCUCAGGUGCGAAAGCGUGGGGAGCAAACAGGAUUAGAUACCCACGUAGUCCCUGAGCGGGCUGGCAAGGCGCAU
rnacentral:rRNA from 1 species